GAUGAACGCUGGCGGCGUGCUUAACACAUGCAAGUCGAACGGAAAGGCUCCUGCUUGCAGGGGUACUCGAGUGGCGAACGGGUGAGUAACACGUGGGUGAUCUGCCCAGCACUUCGGGAUAAGCCUGGGAAACUGGGUCUAAUACCGGAUAGGACGAUGGUUUGGAUGCCAUUGUGGAAAGUUUUUUCGGUGUGGGGUGAGCUCGCGGCCUAUCAGCUUGUUCGUGGUGUAAUGGCCUACCAAGGCGGCGACGGGUAUCCGGCCUGAGAGGGAGGACGGCCACAUUGGGACUGAGAUACGGCGCAGACUCCUACGGGAGGCAGCAGUGGGGAAUAUUGCACAAUGGGCGCAAGCCUGAUGCAGCGACGCCGCGUGGGGGAUGACGGCCUUCGGGGUGUGAACUGCUUUCGCUAGGGACGAAGCGCUAGUGACGGUACCUGGAGAAGAAGCACCGGCUAACUACGUG
rnacentral:rRNA from 1 species